rnacentral:rRNA from 1 species
UACGGGGGGGGGCAAGCGUUGUUCGGACUUACUGGGCGGAAAGGGCUCGUAGGCGGCCAACUAAGUCGGACGUGAAAUCCCUCGGCUCAACCGGGGAACUGCGUCCGAUACUGGAUGGCUUGAGUUCGGGAGAGGGAUGCGGAAUUCCAGGUGUAGCGGUGAAAUUCGUAGAUAUCGAGAAGAACACCGGUGGCGAAGGCGGCCUUCUGGACAGUGACUGACGCUGAGACGCGAAAGCGUGGGGAGCAAACAGG